rnacentral:rRNA from 1 species
UACGUAGGGCGCAAGCGUUAUCCGGAAUUAUUGGGCGUAAAGAGCUCGUAGGCGGUUUGUCGCGUCUGCCGUGAAAGUCCGGGGCUCAACUCCGGAUCUGCGGCGGGUACGGGCAGACUAGAGUGAUGUAGGGGAGACUGGAAUUCCUGGUGUAGCGGUGAAAUGCGCAGAUAUCAGGAGGAACACCGAUGGCGAAGGCAGGUCUCUGGGCAUUAACUGACGCUGAGGCAGCGAAAGCUG